UACGAAGGGGGCUAGCGUUACUCGGAAUUACUGGGCGUAAAGCGUGCGUAGGUGGUGAGUUAAGUCUGUCGUGAAAGCCCCGGGCUCAACCUGGGAAUGGCGAUGGAUACUGGCUCGCUAGAGUGCGGUAGAGGAGAGUGGAAUUCCCGGUGUAGCAGUGAAAUGCGUAGAGAUCGGGGAGGAACAUCAGUUGCGGAAGGCGGCUCACUGGCUC
rnacentral:rRNA from 1 species